GGGUAAGCUGGUGCAGGGAGCGGGGGUAAGAGGGCUGGGGAAAGCGUGGUUCUGAAGUCAGGGGCGAAAAGGGCGCGAGGUGGGGAUCAUAAGUAGGGCGGGGAUGCCCCGGGGUCAACCCGGGUACUGCAUCCGAGGCUGGGAGGCGAGAGUGCUGGAGAGGUUGGUGGAAUUCGUCGUGUAGCGGUGAAAUGCGUAGAGAGGAGGAGGAACACCAGUGGCGAAGGCGGCCAACUGGACAGUAACUGACGCUGAGGCCCGAAAGCGUGGGUAGCAAACAGGAUUAGAUACCCCGGUAGU
rnacentral:rRNA from 1 species